GUCGCCUCGUGUCGGGAUUCGCCUUCCACUAGCGAGUCAAUCUCCUCCUCCGUCUCCUCGGUUGCUGCUCAAUCCCUCUCUUCGAUGGCCGUCGUCGCGGAAUCGCAGCAGGAAUCGGAGUCUCCUUCCAAGGCUUCACCAAAGGAGAAGGGAUGGAUGCUUAGUGAUUUCGAUAUAGGGAAGCCCUGGUGCCUCUUCCGCUUCUUUUUCCUCCUUUAGGAUCAACCCUUCAUCUUCCUCCUUUAUGAGCGACUUUAUUGUGGCUUGCUUUUAUAUAAGAGGUGUCCAAGUAAUCGAAAGGUAGAUAUGGUGAGCAAGUAAUCGGCGAAAAAGAACAUACCUAUUACAUUGCAUCGUUAGCACGAUUACACAGAGAUAUUAAGCCAGAGAAUUUAUUGGUUGGUCUCCAGGGUGAGCUGAAAAUUGCAGAUUUUGGGUGGUCAGUCCACACAUUCAAUCGUAGGCAGACCAUGUGUGGAACACUUGAUUACCUUCCCCCUGAAAUGGGUAUCGCAUGUCAAAUUGUUCUAUAUUAUUGUCUAAUAAGUUUUGCCUCAACUUAUAUUCUUUUCAUCCAUAUACUUUGUCGUAGUGGAAAGUGUUCAACAUGAUGCUAGUGUGGAUAUUUGGAGCUUGGGUGUAUUGUGCUAUGAGUUCCUUUAUGGAGUUCCUCCAUUUGAAGCAAA